rnacentral:tRNA from 1 species
GAAAUAUAAAAUUUUAAGCUUCUAACUUAAAUUACAGCAAAAUUGUUGAUAUUUCU